rnacentral:misc_RNA from 1 species
GAUGAAGAACGCAGCGAAAUGCGAUACUUGGUGUGAAUUGCAGAAUCCCGUGAACCAUCGAGUCUUUGAACGCAAGUUGCGCCCGAAGCCAUUAGGCCGAGGGCACGCCUGCCUGGGCGUCACACGUCGUUGCCCCCCCAUCUACUCCUUCGGGAUUGCGGGGGGCGGAUGAUGGCCUCUCGUGCGCCUCGUCGCGCGGUUGGCCUAAAUGCCAAGUCCUCGGCGACGCACGCCACGACAAUCGGUGGUUGCGAAACCUCGGUUGCCUGUCGUGUGCGGUCGUCGCGCAUCGAGGGCUCGAAAAAAUUGCCGGGCUUCGGCUCGACUUUCAACGCGACCCCAGGUCAGGAGGGGUUACCCGCUGAAUUUAAGCAUAUCAAUAAGCGGAGGA